rnacentral:misc_RNA from 1 species
AACGCACCUUGCGCUCCUUGGUAUUCCGAGGAGCAUGCCUGUUUGAGUGUCAUUUAAUUCUCAAUCUCUACAAACUUGUGUUGUUAGUGGAUUGGAGGUGGGGGUUUCUGUGGGUGUAUUUUUUAUAUCCACUCCCCUGAAAAUUAUUAGCUGGAAUGCCUUUGCAAAACCAACUAUCAGUAUGAUAAUUAUCUAUUCUGAUGUUGCUGUGAAGGGAAUCUGCUUUCAAACCGUCAUUCUGACACUUUGAAUCCAUUUGACCUCAAAUCAGGUAGGACUACCCGCUGAACUUAA